CGAUGCAACGCGAAGAACCUUACCUGGUCUUGACAUCCACAGAACUUUCCAGAGAUGGAUUGGUGCCUUCGGGAACUGUGAGACAGGUGCUGCAUGGCUGUCGUCAGCUCGUGUUGUGAAAUGUUGGGUUAAGUCCCGCAACGAGCGCAACCCUUAUCCUUUGUUGCCAGCGAUUAGGUCGGGAACUCAAAGGAGACUGCCAGUGAUAAACUGGAGGAAGGUGGGGAUGACGUCAAGUCAUCAUGGCCCUUACGACCAGGGCUACACACGUGCUACAAUGGCGCAUACAAAGAGAAGCGACCUCGCGAGAGCAAGCGGACCUCAUAAAGUGCGUCGUAGUCCGGAUUGGAGUCUGCAACUCGACUCCAUGAAGUCGGAAUCGCUAGUAAUCGUGGAUCAGAAUGCCACGGUGAAUACGUUCCCGGGCCUUGUACACACCGCCCGUCACACCAUGGGAGUGGGUUGCAAAAGAAGUAGGUAGCUUAACCUUCGGGAGGGCGCUUACCACUUUGUGAUUCAUGACUGGGGUGAAGUCGUAACAAGGUAACCGUAGGGGAACCUGC
rnacentral:rRNA from 1 species